CCGUCCCGGUGCGUGAGGUGCGGCGUGCGGGUUCGGCAGUCCGGUGCGGAGUCCAGAGAGUGCACGACAAGGUCAGUGACAUCAGUAAUUCCACUAUCAGCUGAGGCCUGGUCACAUCAGAAGUUCAAUUACAAGCCUUCUGUGAAGGGUGGAACCUCGCUGAUAUUUCCUUCUGUUAAUGCUGUAUCACAGUUACUGUCAUAAUGACCUUCACCUGAGCCAAGCAACUUGGGAGUUAGGGUGUAGAAAGACUGCAAAGGAAGGAUUUCAGCAAGAUGUGAGGUAUUCCUGCCAGGACUGAACAAGUGGGUCUGUCACGACAGAUGUCAGUUGCACAAACAAGGGAGGAGACUUUUCCAUCACAGAAUCACUGGCCCAGAGCUCUGGGACACUGCACAGCAAGUUGAAAUUUGAUUCACAUUUUACUGUCCAAAAUAAUCUUACAAAAACCUGUCUGAACUUCCUCAGAAGAAUAUUUAUUUCAGAAACAGCAUCUUCCAGUCACCAAAGCUGUAAUACAAAUUAAACUCAACAUUAAGAUUCUACAGGGUUCGGUGGCUUGCAAGCCCAAAGGUAAUUUCACUUCUCCUGCAAAGCAGCUGUGUCUAAGAUGAAGUCAGAACCACAGCACUGAACAAUAAGAUUUCUAGGCUCUUCAUAACUUUGGUCAUGUCCUACUAUGUAGCUUAGAGUGCUUGUAGUUUGUUUUUCUUUUUUUGCUGGCAACAUCAGUGACCACCUGGAAAAAACAACAGAGGAAAGCAAAGGAAAACAUUUAAAUAUGUAACAAUAAAUAUGAAAAGUUAUCACAAUAAGGAUUGGAAUU